AUGAUGCCCCCAUUCCAGCUCCUCUGCCUCCUGCUGCUCUGGGCUCAGGAGUCCAGGACAGCCAUUGUAAUGACCCAGACUCCAGCCACCCUGUCUGUGGCUCUGGGAGAGAAAGUCACCAUCAGCUGCAGGGCCAGUCAGGGCAUUAGCAAUAAUUUAGCCUGGUACCAGCAACCUCCAGGAAAACCUCCCAAACUUCUUAUCUACAUUGGUAUAGUCCUAGUAUCUGGGGUCCCUGCCCGCUUCAGUGGCAGUGGGUAUGGGACAGAUUUUACUCUCACAAUCAGCAGUGUGGAGGCUGAAGAUGUUGGACAUUACUACUGUCUGCAGCAUUAUGAUUCUCCCACAGUGAUGGAGGCCUGA